CUUCGGGGUACUCGAGCGGCGAACGGGUGAGUAACACGUGAGCAACCUGCCCCUGACUCUGGGAUAAGCCCGGGAAACUGGGUCUAAUACCGGAUAUGACCGCCUCCCGCAUGGGGUGGUGGUGGAAAGUUUUUCGGUUGGGGAUGGGCUCGCGGCCUAUCAGCUUGUUGGUGGGGUAGUGGCCUACCAAGGCGACGACGGGUAGCCGGCCUGAGAGGGCGACCGGCCACACUGGGACUGAGACACGGCCCAGACUCCUACGGGAGGCAGCAGUGGGGAAUAUUGCGCAAUGGGCGGAAGCCUGACGCAGCGACGCCGCGUGGGGGAUGACGGCCUUCGGGUUGUAAACCUCUUUCAGCAGGGACGAAGUUGACGUGUACCUGCAGAAGAAGCGCCGGCUAACUACGUGCCAGCAGCCGCGGUAAUACGUAGGGCGCAAGCGUUGUCCGGAAUUAUUGGGCGUAAAGAGCUCGUAGGUGGCUUGUCGCGUCGGAUGUGAAAGCCCGCAGCUUAACUGCGGGUCUGCAUUUGAUACGGGCAGGCUAGAGGUAGGUAGGGGAGAACGGAAUUCCUGGUGUAGCGGUGAAAUGCGCAGAUAUCAGGAGGAACACCGGUGGCGAAGGCGGUUCUCUGGGCCUUACCUGACGCUGAGGAGCGAAAGCGUGGGGAGCGAACAGGAUUAGAUACCCUGGUAGUCCACGCUGUAAACGUUGGGCGCUAGGUGUGGGACCCUUCCACGGGUUCCGUGCCGGAGCUAACGCAUUAAGCGCCCCGCCUGGGG
rnacentral:rRNA from 1 species